AAACUCAAAAAAUUAUUUUUAAAAAUUCCAAAUAGUAACUAGUUCAUCUCCCCUUAUUGUACUUUGCGCCUCUUAAAUAUUUUUAAAAAUUCCAAAAAUAAAAAAUUACAUUUUAUCUUUGGUGACUAAAAAUUUAGUCGCUAAAAAUCUAUUUUCAGCGACUAAACAAAUUUGUCGCCAAAUAAUUAGUUUUGACUAAAAUUAUUUAGUCACCGAUUAAAAAAUAAAAAAUUAAUUUUUAUCUUUUUAGUUGCAAAAAUCUAUUUUUAGUGACUAAAUAAAAUUUUAGUCGCCAAAUAGUUAGUUUUGACUAUUAAAAUUAUUUAGUCGCCGAUGAAAAAUAAAAAAUUAAUUUUUAUCUUUGGCCAUUAAAAAUUUAGUCGCCAAAAAUCUAUGUUCAGCGACUAAAAUUUAGUUGGCAAAUGUGUUCAAAAUUUUAGUGGGAAAUUUAGGCUGUGUUUGGAAGGGUUUUCAAACUAUAAUUCUACCCACACAUUCUAAUACCAUGUUUGGAUAAGGUUUUCAAAUUAUAUUUCCACAACAAACAGAAAAUUCUGCAGAAAACUGUGUUAGGCGGGAUUUUCAAUUUUUUUUUUAAAUUUGGCUUAACCGGUCGUCCGGUCAACCGGAACAUGGCAAAUUUAUUUAUUUAUUUAUUUAUUUAUUGCAAUUGGCACUUUUUUUUUAUUAUUAUUUUUUAUAUGUUUAAUAAAACAAUGUUUUUGGAUUUUUUUAAAAAAAUUUAUAAGCUUUUAAUAGAUUUUUGAGUUAUGUGUUUGGUUAUGAGUUGUAAGUUUUUGUAUUAGAUAUCAUAUGCCACACCAAAAAUUUCAACUCAAUUUAAUACUAUUUUCAAAACUCAUUCACCAAAUAAAUUUUUAACACUUAAAUCAUAAUUUCAAAACUCACAAACUUAAAAUACAACUCUAUUCUCAAAUCAUAUUUAAAAAACUCUACCAAAUCAUAUUCUCAAAUCACACGGUUCUCUCUCUCUCUCUCUCUCUCUCUCUCUCUCACACACACACACACACACAGAGAAUCAGUCACCCCGCCCCUCAUCUCAGCAUCGCACACGACCAGAGUGUCCGUCAAUCUUCCACCGUCGAAGAUAGCCACCGCAGCUCACCAUUGCCUCGCCUUCCAUCGACAUUCAGGUUAUUCUGUCCUUUUCCGAUUGAAGUUUUUGACUGAUUUCGAUACAUGUAGAUUUAGUUAUGUAUAUAUAUAUAUCGUAAUCUUCGUUCAAUUUUCUGUAGAUUUCUUCGACAUUGUGCUUGCUUUCUUUACCGAUUAAAGUUUUGACUGAUUUCGAUUCAUAUAGUUAUGUAUCUAUCGUAUUUAAGUUUUGAUUUUGACCGAUCCAUCCACAAAAUUGUAUUGUCCAUCCAACCCGUCAAUAUAUCUGAACAUCACGAAGGUACUCUCUCUCUCUCUCUCUCCCCUAGAUAAUUCCUCCUUAGAGUUGCAGAUCUUGAUUCGCCAUUGAAGAACUCUCUCUCGGAUGCCCCUCUCUCUUUGUUUCUUCUCUUCCUUCUUUUCUUCUUAUUUUACGAUCUUAAUCUGCUCCUAGGGUUUGGAUUAAGGCCAUAGAGUUUGGAUCGAUGGAUUCGUUAUACAUCCCCUGCGUUGAGCAUGCGAAGCAAUGGCUUUCCAAUUCCAAUCAUCCAAUCAUCCAAUCGAUUCCGAUCCGAAUGUUACUUAUGCUCGUGCACGGCUCCAUGGUGCCGGUCCAAGUGGAAGGUUCGGAUGAGCAAUACCAGCAGUCAUUAUUGAGUAGAUUCCUGCAAAGUGGAAGGUUGGUCCAAGACAAGAGACCCUCCUCUUCUGUGGCAGCAAGUGAAUUGGGUUUUUAAAGGCAAAGACACACACAGUGGUUUAAGAUUGAUGAUGUUGGCAUGGAUACAGUGAUGUUUUUGGGACAGAUUGAUGAUGUUUGCAUCAGCACAAUUUACAUUAUAUUUUUGUUUAUGGAAAACAUGUACACCUGAUAUGUUUUGUUAUUAAGAUUUUGUUUAAUUUGGAUUUUAAUUGUUGGUUUGGAUAGUAUAUAUAUUUGUUGGAUUAUACUAUGUUUAUGGAUUCUUAUUUUCUUUGAUAUGUACAAUUAAUAGUUAAGCUUUGUAUAUUGUUGGAUAUUGAAUGCUA